rnacentral:rRNA from 3 species
AAACCAACUGGGAUUACCUUAGUAACGGCGAGUGAAGCGGUAAAAGCUCAAAUUUGAAAUCUGGUACUUUCAGUGCCCGAGUUGUAAUUUGUAGAAUUUGUCUUUGAUUAGGUCCUUGUCUAUGUUCCUUGGAACAGGACGUCAUAGAGGGUGAGAAUCCCGUUUGGCGAGGAUACCUUUUCUCUGUAAGACUUUUUCGAAGAGUCGAGUUGUUUGGGAAUGCAGCUCAAAGUGGGUGGUAAAUUCCAUCUAAAGCUAAAUAUUGGCGAGAGACCGAUAGCGAACAAGUACAGUGAUGGAAAGAUGAAAAGAACUUUGAAAAGAGAGUGAAAAAGUACGUGAAAUUGUUGAAAGGGAAGGGCAUUUGAUCAGACAUGGUGUUUUUUGCAUGCACUCGCCUCUCGUGGGCUUGGGCCUCUCAAAAAUUUCACUGGGCCAACAUCAAUUCUGGCAGCAGGAUAAAUCAUUAAGAAUGUAGCUACUUCGGUAGUGUUAUAGCUUUUUGGAAUACUGUUAGCCGGGAUUGAGGACUGCGCUUCGGCAAGGAUGUUGGCAUAAUGGUUAAAUGCCGC